CCUGCCGGCGACCGGCGCACGGGUGAGUAACACGUAUGUAACCUGCCCUAUGCAGGGGGAUAACCCGGAGAAAUCCGGCCUAAUACCGCGUAACACCUUUUGGGAGCAUUCCCGGGAGGUUACAGGAGAGAUCCGGCAUAGGAUGGACAUGCGUCGCAUUAGGUAGACGGCGGGGUAACGGCCCACCGUGCCGACGAUGCGUAGGGGUUCUGAGAGGAAGGCCCCCCACACUGGUACUGAGACACGGACCAGACUCCUACGGGAGGCAGCAG
rnacentral:rRNA from 1 species